CCACCCCCCUCCCCGCCCUCAGCGGUCAGUGCCUACAGUGGCCGAGGGCCAAGGCGCGGCGUUCCUGGAGCACUCAGACACCGCUGCGGCCGGGCCGCCUCUGCUCUGUUCCAGGGCCAGACAUUUCCUCUAGACAGGCCUAGAAAGUCCUUCCUAACUGCAGGUGCGAGGCUACGGGGUCAGAGGGGGCACAACGGCGGCCACAGAUCCGGAGGAGCCCCAAGCCCAGACCCCCGGCCAGGCCUCGACUUCUCCCUACGUCCCCAGCCCGCUCUGACCCAAGGGAGGCCCCCGCGGAAGCGGAUCAUCUCUUCUGGUUCCUCAAUUCCCCCGCCAGCGGAACUCGCUCCUCCCGCUUCUCCUUCUCCCUGUAGCCCUCCCAGGUACCUCGAGGGCCCCCGAUUUCUUUCCUCCUCCCCCCCAGUUUGCUACAAAGUGGCUUGUCUCUCUGGCAGAUGACAGCAGCCCAUGCUAUCUGCAGGCCGUGUGUCAGCCUGGGGCCUAAGCUAGGAACUGGGAGCCGGAGGACUAGCUCUUUACAACUUUUUAUAAAGAAGUGAUAGCCAAGAGCCUGUGAGACAACUUUGCAACCACAAAACUCAAUUAGAAGAUUGUAGUUACAGUGUCCUAUAUCUCCAGUCUCUCAAUCACUUAAGCGGUGGAAGCACAAUCAGCCCCCUGCCCGUACCUUACAGAAAGCUCCAGGCAUUGCCAACCUGACUGGGAGACAUUGUUUUCAGUUCUGUCCACCUCUGGGGACUGUCCCCGUGGACACCCUUGCCUCUAAUGCAGGCCCCUUGCUUUCUUCUGGAUUUACAGUUCUUCAGCGCUCAAGUUGUGCAGAGCAUAGAGUUCCUUCUUAGCUCCGGUAUCCACGGGGUUUUCGUCAUCACUAGCCCCAGAAGGCAUACAUGAAAGUCACAUAGGUUGAGAAAACUGAGGAAGACAGAUGUUAAGUGACCUGUUCAGGAACCCACAGCUGAUGCUGCUGAGCCACUAUAUUCUGCAUGAAACCUUUCCCAAUCCCAAUGACUAGAGUCCUCCCUCCCUUCCAACUUCCCCCACAUUUAUUUUUUGUGACACUCUUUUUACUUUUUCUACAUAUACUUAUAUAUCUACUUCUUGCCUUCCC